rnacentral:lncRNA from 1 species
UGCAAUUUUGAAAUCAAAUCUUGCCUGGCAAGAAAAUCUACUGUGAUGGAAAAAUAAGUUUAUUCUCAAAAGCCUGUCUAAAAGCAUUGACUUUUAAAGAACAUUAAAGCCCAUUAGCUGUGAAAUGGAGGCAUUAUCUAAUCUCUGGAACUCAAGACUUGAGAUCACAACAACUGGUAGGAGCCUUUGUGGGAAUGGUUUUUUGGAGUUAUAAAGUUUACAUGGAGUUUCCUGCCACAAAAUCAGGACUACAGCAAUCUAGAAAUAAAAGUCAUAUUAUCCAUACAUAUGAUCGGAAUUUUCAUCUAAAUUUCACUUUUACAGUUUGGAAAAUGCUAGUCUUUCUGAUCAGGGCUUUCAGACACUGUUAAGAAUUACAAGAAACUGUAUUCAUAAAUAACACCAUUUUCAAAAUAUAUGUGUCCUUUGAAUAAUAGAAGCUUAGUGGAUAUUCAUUUGGUCUUAGUCACUGAGGCUUACAGUAAACCUUUUGGAAGGGAUGGGGCAGGGGUAAGGGAUCGGGGUGGUUCAGGUAGCAUAGGUUAUGGAAUGGCCAGUGCUGAGAACAUACAGAUGUGGGCAUGAAGACUGGCAUUUCACUUUUCCUAUUGUGUGUGUUUUAAAUUUUUUUUCAAAAAAUCAGAUUUACUAAGGUAUAAUUUAUAUACAAUAAAAUACAUAUGUUUCAGUGUUUAAUGCUAUUUGUGUUUGACAAAUGCAUAUGUUCCUUGGUACUUUUGUGUGCUUCAUCUAUGGAUCCAAGCAACCAUGAAUCAAAAAUAUUUAGAAAAAAAUUACAUCUGUACUCAACAAGCACAGAUUUUUUUCCCCUGUGGUUAUUCCCUAAACAGUAUAGUAUAGCAGCUAUUUCCAUUGCAUUAGAGAUGAUUUAAAGCCUAUGAAAGGAUGUGUGUAAGUUCUAUGCAAAUAUUAUUUUGUAUACAAAACUAGAGCAUCUGUGGAUUUUGGUAUUUGAUAUUUGUGUAGUCAUAUGACAGUGUCUGUCCAUUUACCAGUUGAAGAGCUGUUAGGUUGUGUCCUAUUUAUAGCAAUUAUGUAUAAAGUUGGAAUAAACAUGUGAAUACAUUUGUUUUUAUUUCUCUUGGGUAAGUACCAAGAAGUGGAAUUGCUAGGUCAUAUGGCAAGUACAUGUUCAUCUUUGUAAGAAGCUACAGAACUAUUUCCUAAAAUGGCUAUAACAUGUUGCAUUUCCAUAAACAAUAAAAAAGUGCCAGUUUUUUACAUCCUUGUCAGUCCUUCAUUUUUUCAGGGUGAGUUUUCUUAUCCCAUUCUAAUUGUAUGUAAAAAUGUAUCUUAUUGUGG